ACGUCCUUAGUUCAGUUGGUAGAACGUCGGUCUCCAAAACCGAAUGUCAGGGGUUCAAGUCCUCUAGGGCGUG
rfam:Geminocystis sp. NIES-3709 DNA, complete genome.